GCAUCGAUGAAGAACGCAGCUAAUUGCGCGUCAACGUGUGAACUGCAGGACACAUGAACAUCGACUUUUUGAACGCGCAUUGCGGUCCUCGGAUACUGUUCCUGGACCACACCUGGCUGAGGGUCGUA
rnacentral:rRNA from 1 species